AGGGGGACAACAGUUGGAAACGACUGCUAAUACCGCAUAAUGCAUAUUGGUCGCAUGGCCGAUAUGCCAAAGAUUAUUCGCUGAAAGAUGGCCUCGCGUCUGAUUAGCUAGUUGGUGAGGUAACGGCCCACCAAGGCGCGAUCAGUAGCCGGACUGAGAGGUUGACCGGCCACAUUGGGACUGAGAUACGGCCCAGACUCCUACGGGAGGCAGCAGUGGGGAAUAUUGGGCAAUGGGCGCAAGCCUGACCCAGCAACGCCGCGUGAAGGAAGAAGGCUUUCGGGUUGUAAACUUCUUUUUGUCGAGGAAGAGUAGAAGACUGUACUCGGCGAAUAAGCCACGGCUAACUACGUG
rnacentral:rRNA from 1 species